UACGUAGGUGGCAAGCGUUGUCCGGAAUUAUUGGGCGUAAAGCGCGCGCAGGCGGUUAUGUAAGUCUGAUGUUAAAGCCCGGGGCUCAACCUCGGUUCGCAUUGGAAACUGUGUAACUUGAGUGCAGAAGAGGAAAGUGGUAUUCCACGUGUAGCGGUGAAAUGCGUAGAGAUGUGGUGGAACACCAGUGGCGAAGGCGACUUUCUGGUCUGUAACUGACGCUGAGGCGCGAAAGAGUGGGGAGCAAACAGG
rnacentral:rRNA from 1 species